CAAUAGCGUAUAUUAAAGUUGUUGCAGUUAAAAAGCUCGUAGUUGGAUUUCUGGUGGGAGCGAUCGGUCUGGCGCUUAGCGCGAGAACUUGCAUCGUCUCCGGCCAUCCUUGGGGAGAGUCUGUCUGGCAUUAAGUUGUCGGGCAGAGGAUCCUCAUCGUUUACUGUGAAAAAAUUAGAGUGUUCAAAGCAGGCUUAUGCCGUUGAAUAUAUUAGCAUGGAAUAAUAAGAUAGGACUUUGGUACUAUUUUGUUGGUUUGCGCACCAAAGUAAUGAUUAAUAGGGACAGUUGGGGGUAUUCGUAUUCCGUUGUCAGAGGUGAAAUUCUUGGAUUUACGGAAGACGAACUACUGCGAAAGCAUUUACCAAGGAUGUUUUCAUUAA
rnacentral:rRNA from 1 species